ACCUACGGGGCGCAGCAGUGAGGAAUAUUGGUCAAUGGCCGAGAGGCUGAACCAGCCAAGUCGCGUGAGGGAUGACGGCCCUACGGGUUGUAAACCUCUUUUGUCGGGGAGCAAGACCCGCCUCGUGCAGGCGGAGCGAGAGUACCCGAAGAAAAAGCAUCGGCUAACUCCGUGCCAGCAGCCGCGGUAAUACGGAGGAUCCGAGCGUUAUCCGGAUUUAUUGGGUUUAAAGGGAGCGUAGGUGGAUUGUUAAGUCAGUUGUGAAAGUUUGCGGCUCAACCGUAAAAUUGCAGUUGAAACUGUCA
rnacentral:rRNA from 1 species